rnacentral:rRNA from 1 species
CCUACGUGAGGCAGCAGUGGGGAAUAUUGCACAAUGGGCGAAAGCCUGAUGCAGCAACGCCGCGUGAAGGAAGAAGGGUUUCUGCUCGUAAACUUCUAUCAGCAGGGACGAAAAAAAUGACAGUAGCUGAAGAAGAAACGCCUGCUAACUACGUGCCAGCAGCCGCGGUAAUACGUAGGGGGCAAGCGUUAUCCGGAAUUACUGGGUGUAAGGGGUGAGUAGGCGGUAUGGUAAUCCAGAGGUGAAAGCCUUGGGCUUAACCCCAGGAUUGCGUUGGAAACUAUCCAGCUAGAGUACAGGAGAGGAAGGCGGAAUUCCUAGUGUAGCGGUGAAAUGCGUAGAUAUUAGGAAGAACACCAGUGGCGAAGGCGGCUUUCUGGACUGAAACUGACGUUGAGGCACGAAAGCGUGGGGAGCGAACAGGAUUAGAUACCCCUGUAGUC